UGGGUGAUGGUGGUGAUCCUGUGCUGCCGAGAAAAGCCUCUAGCGAUGUGUGUAGACGGCCCGUACCCGAAACCGACACAGGUAGUCAGGUAGAGCAUACUAAGGCGAGCGGGUGAACUGUGGUUAAGGAACUCGGCAAAAUGCCCCCGUAACUUCGGGAGAAGGGGGACCCAAACCGGUAGCUAACACAUGCGGUUAGUGUGCUGGUGUGGGUCGCAGAGAAGAGAGGGGAGCGACUGUUUAUCAAAAACACAGGUCCGUGCGAAGACGGUUAAGUUGAUGUAUACGGACUGACGCCUGCCCGGUGCUGGAAGGUUAAGAGGACCUGUUAGACCCUUUUGGGUCGAAGCGGAGAAUUUAAGCCCCAGUAAACGGCGGUGGUAACUAUAACCAUCCUAAGGUAGCGAAAUUCCUUGUCGGGUAAGUUCCGACCUGCACGAAUGGCGUAACGACUCCCCUGCUGUCUCA
rnacentral:rRNA from 1 species